rnacentral:rRNA from 1 species
AGCUCCAAUAGCGUAUGUUAAUUUUGCUGCAAUUAAAAAGCUCGUAGUUGAAUUUUCGGCACAUGAAAAUGUGUCUGCCUGAGUCGUCUAUAGAUACAUCCGUUUUUAUAGUUCGUGCAGGCAUUUACUGUGAAUAAUUAGAGUGCUCAAAACAAGCGUUUGCUUGAAUAUUUUAGCAUGGAAUAAUAAAAUACGACUUC